GAUACUGUAGGUGAUAUACAGUAUUGUUACAUACUGUACUCUACACACUGUGAUUGAAUCAGGACUGAUACUGUAGGUGAUAUACAGUAUUGUUACAUACUGUACUCUACACACUGUGGUUGAAUCAGGACUGAUACUGUAGGUGAUAUACAGUAUUGUUACAUACUGUACUCUACACACUGUGGUUGAAUCAGGACUGAUACUGUAGGUGAUAUACAGUAUUGUUACAUACUGUACUCUACACACUGUGGUUGAAUCAGGACUGAUACUGUAGGUGAUAUACAGUAUUGUUACAUACUGUACUCUACACACUGUGGUUGAAUCAGGACUGAUACUGUAGGUGAUAUACAGUAUUGUUACAUACUGUACUCUACACACUGUGGUUGAAUCAGGACUGAUACUGUAGGUGAUAUACAGUAUUGUUACAUACUGUACACUACACACUGUGGUUGAAUCAGGACUGAUACUGUAGGUGAUAUACAGUAUUGUUACAUACUGUACUCUACACACUGUGAUUGAAU